ensembl:lncRNA
GAAAAAACAAGACCUGCAAACACUAUACAAAAGAUGUUGUGUGCUUGCCCUUGUCUUCAGCAUCAACGUUUCUCAUACCGAGAGGAGAUUCAAGAGCAAAACUAGCACAAGAUGGCCUUAUUGGGAAGAUCUCCUUUACAUCUGACUGGUCUGAAGCACAACUUAGAGAAGAAAUGGCAGCAAUCUUCAGAAGAACAUUUGCACUGUCAACUGGCCAGACAUUCCCUUUUGAGUAUUUGAGUACAAUUAGAGGAUGUAAACGACUAAUGAAACCAAAUGUUUCUAGCAGUUUUCUUUGGGGUGGCCAAGAAGUUGGCUCGAUUUGUUCCUCCACCUGCCUCUAUAUAAUGGCAGGGAUACAAAAACCUGCACAGGAGGAACCAGAAGAGCUGUCUGAUAGUGACUUUGAAAGUCCAGUCUGCCGGAGAAGACGAGUGCAUCAUGCGUUGCCUACAACACCAGGUGAAAGUGAGGCCAAGCAUCAGGAAACAGAGGGCUGCAUUCAGGAGAGUGAAAAUGAGGGACAGGC